GAUGAACGCUGGCGGCGUGCCUAAUACAUGCAAGUCGAGCGAACAGACGAGGAGCUUGCUCCUCUGACGUUAGCGGCGGACGGGUGAGUAACACGUGGAUAACCUACCUAUAAGACUGGGAUAACUUCGGGAAACCGGAGCUAAUACCGGAUAAUAUAUUGAACCGCAUGGUUCAAUAGUUAAAGACGGUUUUGCUGUCACUUAUAGAUGGAUCCGCGCCGCAUUAGCGAGUUGGUAAGGUAACGGCUUACCAAGGCAACGAUGCGUAGCCGACCUGAGAGGGUGAUCGGCCACACUGGAACUGAGACACGGUCCAGACUCCUACGGGAGGCAGCAGUAGGGAAUCUUCCGCAAUGGGCGAAAGCUUGACGGAGCAACGCCGCGUGAGUGAUGAAGGUCUUCGGAUCGUAAAACUCUGUUAUUAGGGAAGAAAAAAUGUGUAAGUAACUAUGCACGUCUUGACGGUACCUAAUCAGAAAGCCACGGCUAACUACGUG
rnacentral:rRNA from 1 species